UGAUGCCAUUUUCUUCUAAAGCUGAAAGUGAACCAUUAUUACAACUUAACACUCAACUCACAAGAGGAGAAGCAACAAAGCUUAUGUAAGGAUUUAGUAUUAAGGCCAAAAAAACACAGAUCAAAUUCAAUUAUUGAAGCUUUACUUAUCAAGUUAUCAUAUAACCAAUGAAGACGGUAAUUCAAAAGAAAAAUAAAAGGGUUUGUAGAAUAAUUGAUACGUUUACCUUUGCCGAUUCAGAGACAGUGA